rnacentral:rRNA from 1 species
CUUUUGACCUCGGAUCAGGUAGGGAUACCCGCUGAACUUAAGCAUAUCAAUAAGCGGAGGAAAAGAAACCAACAGGGAUUGCCCUAGUAACGGCGAGUGAAGCGGCAACAGCUCAAAUUUGAAAUCUGGCUCUUUCAGAGUCCGAGUUGUAAUUUGCAGAGGGCGCUUUGGCGUUGGCAGCGGUCCAAGUUCUUUGGAACAGGACGUCACAGAGGGUGAGAAUCCCGUACGUGGUCGCUAGCCUUCGCCGUGUAAAGCCCCUUCGACGAGUCGAGUUGUUUGGGAAUGCAGCUCUAAAUGGGAGGUAAAUUUCUUCUAAAGCUAAAUACUGGCCAGAGACCGAUAGCGCACAAGUAGAGUGAUCGAAAGAUGAAAAGCACUUUGGAAAGAGAGUCAAAUAGCACGUGAAAUUGUUGAAAGGGAAGCGCUUGCAGCCAGACUUGCCUGUAGUUGCUUAUCCGGACUUUUGUCCGGUGCACUCUUCUGCGGGCAGGCCAGCAUCAGUUUGGGCGGUUGGAUAAAGGUCUCUGUCAUGUACCUCCUUUCGGGGAGGCCUUAUAGGGGAGACGACAUGCAACCAGCCUGGACUGAGGUCCGCGCAUCUGCUAGGAUGCUGGCGUAAUGGCUGUAAGCGGCCCGUCUUGAAACACGGACCAAGGAGUCUAACAUCUAUGCGAGUGUUUGGGUGUCAAGCCCAGACGCGUAAUGAAAGUGAACGGAGGUGGGAACCUUUUAGGUGCACCAUCGACCGAUCCUGAUGUCUUCGGAAGGAUUUGAGUAAGAGCAUGGCUGUUGGGACCCGAAAGAUGGUGAACUAUGCUUGAAUAGGGUGAAGCCAGAGGAAACUCUGGUGGAGGCUCGCAGCGGCUCUGACGCGCAAAUCGAUCGUCAAAUUUGGGCAUAGGGGCGAAAGACUAAUCGAACUAUCUAGUAGCUGGUUCCUGCCGAAGUUUCCCUCAGGAUAGCAGUAACGUAUUCAGUUUUUAUGAGGUAAAGCGAAUGAUUAGAGGCCUG